rnacentral:miRNA from 1 species
AACCCCUGGUGGAAAACCC